rnacentral:rRNA from 1 species
AUUGAACGCUGGCGGCAUGCCUUACACAUGCAAGUCGAACGGUAACGGGCCUUCGGGUGCCGACGAGUGGCGAACGGGUGAGUAAUACAUCGGAACGUGCCCGAUCGUGGGGGAUAACGAGGCGAAAGCUUUGCUAAUACCGCAUACGAUCUACGGAUGAAAGCAGGGGACCGCAAGGCCUUGCGCGGACGGGGCGGCCGAUGGCAGAUUAGGUAGUUGGUGGGAUAAAAGCUUACCAAGCCGACGAUCUGUAGCUGGUCUGAGAGGAUGAUCAGCCACACUGGGACUGAGACACGGCCCAGACUCCUACGGGAGGCAGCAGUGGGGAAUUUUGGACAAUGGGCGCAAGCCUGAUCCAGCCAUGCCGCGUGCAGGAUGAAGGCCUUCGGGUUGUAAACUGCUUUUGUACGGAACGAAAAGCCUUCUUUUAAUACAGGAGGGUCAUGACGGUACCGUAAGAAUAAGCACCGGCUAACUACGUG